rnacentral:rRNA from 1 species
UACGUAGGGUGCAAGCGUUGUCCGGAUUUAUUGGGCGUAAAGAGCUCGUAGGCGGUUUAGCAAGUCGGGUGUGAAAACUUCAGGCUCAACCUGGAGAUGCCACUCGAGACUGCUAUGACUUGAGUCUGGUAGGGGAGCACGGAAUUCCUGGUGUAGCGGUGAAAUGCGCAGAUAUCAGGAGGAACCCCGGUGGCGAAGGCGGUGCUCUGGGCCAGUACUGACGCUGAGGAGCGAAAGCGUGGGUAGCAAACAGG